rnacentral:rRNA from 1 species
UAAGGAAUAUUGGUCAAUGGGCGCAAGCCUGAACCAGCCAUGCCGCGUGCAGGAAGACGGCCCUACGGGUUGUAAACUGCUUUUGUACCGGAAUAAACCUGCUCUCGUGAGAGCAGCUGAACGUACGGUAAGAAUAAGGAUCGGCUAACUCCGUGCCAGCAGCCGCGGUAAUACGGAGGAUCCAAGCGUUAUCCGGAUUUAUUGGGUUUAAAGGGUGCGUAGGCGGCUUUUUAAGUCAGGGGUGAAAACUUGCGGCUCAACCGUAAGCUUGCCUUUGAUACUGAGGAGCUUGAAUACACUUGAGGUAGGCGGAAUGUGACAAGUAGCGGUGAAAUGCAUAGAUAUGUCACAGAACACCAAUUGCGAAGGCAGCUUACUAAAGUGAGAUUGACGCUGAGGCACGAAAGCGUGGGGAUCAAACAGG